UACGAGGGGGGCAAAUGUUGUUCGGAAUCACUGGGCGUAAAGGGAGCGUAGGCGGGUUUCUAAGUCAGGUGUUUAAUCCCGGGGCCCAACCCCGGGACAGGCACUUGAAACUGGGAAUCUUGAAUAGUGGAGAGGUCAGUGGAAUUGGGGGUGUAGCGGGUGGAAUGCGUAGAGAUCCCCAAGAACACCAGUUGCGAAGGCGGACUGACUGGACACAUAUUGACGCUGAGGCUCGAAAGCAUGGGGAGCAAACAGG
rnacentral:rRNA from 1 species